UACUCCCCGAAAUGCAUUUAGGUGCAGCGUUGAUUUAAAGUUUUAUAGAGGUAGAGCUACUGAUUGGAUGCGGGGGCUUCACCGCCUACCAAUUCCUGACAAACUCCGAAUGCUAUAAAAUGUUGAUCAGCAGUGAGGGCAUGGGUGCUAAGGUCCAUGUCCGAGAGGGAAAGAACCCAGACCAUCAGCUAAGGUCCCCAAAUGUAUAUUAAGUUGAAGAAACGCGGUUGAACUGCCCAGACAGCUAGGAUGUUGGCUUGGAAGCAGCCAUUCAUUUAAAGAGUGCGUAACAGCUCACUAGUCGAGCGGUUCGGCAUGGAUAAUAAUCGGGCAUAAAUAUACUACCGAAGCUAUGGAUUUCAUAUUUAAGUAUAUGGAGUGGUAGGGGAGCAUUGUAAUGGGGUUGAAGGUGUGCUGUCAGGCAUGCUGGACUAAUUACAAAAG
rnacentral:ncRNA from 1 species